rnacentral:rRNA from 1 species
GACGAACGCUGGCGGCGUGCUUAACACAUGCAAGUCGAACGGAAAGGCCCUGCUUUUGUGGGGUGCUCGAGUGGCGAACGGGUGAGUAACACGUGAGUAACCUGCCCUUGACUUUGGGAUAACUUCAGGAAACUGGGGCUAAUACCGGAUAGGAGCUCCUGCUGCAUGGUGGGGGUUGGAAAGUUUCGGCGGUUGGGGAUGGACUCGCGGCUUAUCAGCUUGUUGGUGGGGUAGUGGCUUACCAAGGCUUUGACGGGUAGCCGGCCUGAGAGGGUGACCGGCCACAUUGGGACUGAGAUACGGCCCAGACUCCUACGGGAGGCAGAAGUGGGGAAUAUUGCACAAUGGGCGGAAGCCUGAUGCAGCAACGCCGCGUGCGGGAUGACGGCCUUCGGGUUGUAAACCGCUUUCGCCUAUGACGAAGCGUGAGUGACGGUAAUGGGUAAAGAAGCACCGGCUAACUACGUG